AUCCAGCUGACGAGUCCCAAAUAGGACGA
rfam:Schistosoma margrebowiei strain Zambia genome assembly, scaffold: SMRZ_contig0002683